AUGCGCUCCGGUGCUUGCCGUAAAGUUUGGUGAAUCUGAGUAACCACAGCCGAACCGCACKAUCUUGCAUCGGCGGUCUGUCGRUCAAGCUAACUGCCUUAUCAGCUUGUCGUUAGUGUUAUAUGCCUAACGAGGCGUCUGACGGGUAACGAACGAUCGGGGUCUGACAUCGGAGAGGGAGCCUGAGAAACGGCUACCACAUCCAAGGAAGGCA
rnacentral:rRNA from 1 species